CAAAGACCAAUAUUUGGCAGCCAAGAUAAGUUUUAAACAGUAGUUAUAUAACUCGACUAUGGUUCUGCCUAACUUACCAUUGUCCUAUGAUAACUACUAUGUACAAUCAAACCAUACAUCAACCAAUGGCAGAUAUAAAAAACUUUUUAUGCGGGGUCAACACAUAAAAAUUUCACGCAUCAAAAAAUAAAAUUUCCAAGUUGAUUUUCAAGUAUCAAGAGCUCAACAUCUAAAAACUUAGUAGGAUAAAAUUGAACCAAUAUAACAAACUUUUCAAGUGAAAAGAAGAGAAGGAACUAGCCUGAUUCAAGCAAGUCAGACAAUAAUUUGAGGGGUAUAUAUAUAUAUAAGUACAUCCAAAAUAAGAAUAUAAGUCUACCACCGCCAUUACCACAACCACAUUGAGAAGAUAAGCCUACUAGUGAAUAACAUAAUCAUAAAUCGUUUACUUUAAGCUAAAUAAAGAUUUAUUUAUUUAUUCUUUUAUUUUUUACAAAGGGAAAAGGAAGGGGGAAAAUUGAAUUUUCUCAUCUUAAUUCAUUGACAUCUCAUCAAUACCUCUGGUUGAAACUCUUUACCCUUUUCCUGAAACAGUACUCCAAAACAAGAAUAUAAUAGACAGGGAGAUUACAAGCUAAGAAAUUACUUAUUACAUGUUGCAUAUAGAAACUCAUUGCAAAAUUACCACAAGAUAUAGUACAUACCACAUCGCU
rnacentral:misc_RNA from 1 species